rfam:Homo sapiens chromosome 1, GRCh38 reference primary assembly.
GUCGGGCAUGGUGGUGCGUGCCUGUAAUCCCAGCUACUCGGGAGGCUGAGGCAGGAGAAUCGCUUGAACCCGGGAAGUGGAGGUUGCAGUGAGCCGAGAUUGCGCCACUGCACUCCAGCCUGGGCAACAGAGCGAGACUCUGUCUCAA